GGCUCGGUAGCUUAGUUGGUAAAGCGCUCGUUUAGCAUACAAGAGUCCUGGGUUCAAAUCCCAGCCAAGCAC
rnacentral:tRNA from 1 species